rnacentral:rRNA from 1 species
GACGUAGGGGGCUAGCGUUGUUCGGAAUUACUGGGCGUAAAGAGCGCGUAGGCGGUCUAUUAAGUUGGAAGUGAAAGCCCAGGGCUUAACCCUGGAACUGCUUUCAAAACUGAUAGACUAGAGUGUGGUAGGGGGUGAUGGAAUUCCAAGUGUAGAGGUGAAAUUCUUAGAUAUUUGGAGGAACACCGGUGGCGAAAGCGAUCACCUGGACCAAUACUGACGCUGAGGCGCGAAAGCGUGGGGAGCAAACAGG